rnacentral:rRNA from 1 species
UUCGGGGUGGAUUAGUGGCGAACGGGUGAGUAACACGUGGGCAAUCUGCCCUGCACUCUGGGACAAGCCCUGGAAACGGGGUCUAAUACCGGAUACUGAUCGCCUUGGGCAUCCUUGGUGAUCGAAAGCUCCGGCGGUGCAGGAUGAGCCCGCGGCCUAUCAGCUUGUUGGUGAGGUAAUGGCUCACCAAGGCGACGACGGGUAGCCGGCCUGAGAGGGCGACCGGCCACACUGGGACUGAGACACGGCCCAGACUCCUACGGGAGGCAGCAGUGGGGAAUAUUGCACAAUGGGCGAAAGCCUGAUGCAGCGACGCCGCGUGAGGGAUGACGGCCUUCGGGUUGUAAACCUCUUUCAGCAGGGAAGAAGCGAAAGUGACGGUACCUGCAGAAGAAGCGCCGGCUAACUACGUGCCAGCAGCCGCGGUAAUACGUAGGGCGCGAGCGUUGUCCGGAAUUAUUGGGCGUAAAGAGCUCGUAGGCGGCUUGUCGCGUCGGUUGUGAAAGCCCGGGGCUUAACCCCGGGUCUGCAGUCGAUACGGGCAGGCUAGAGUUCGGUAGGGGAGAUCGGAAUUCCUGGUGUAGCGGUGAAAUGCGCAGAUAUCAGGAGGAACACCGGUGGCGAAGGCGGAUCUCUGGGCCGAUACUGACGCUGA